CGGAGGGUGCAAGCGUUAAUCGGAAUUACUGGGCGUAAAGCGCACGCAGGCGGUCUGUCAAGUCGGAUGUGAAAUCCCCGGGCUCAACCUGGGAACUGCAUUCGAAACUGGCAGGCUUGAGUCUUGUAGAGGGGGGUAGAAUUCCAGGUGUAGCGGUGAAAUGCGUAGAGAUCUGGAGGAAUACCGGUGGCGAAGGCGGCCCCCUGGACAAAGACUGACGCUCAGGUGCGAAAGCGUGGGGAGCAAACAGGAUUAGAUACCCUGGUAGUCCACGCCGUAAACGAUGUCUACUUGGAGGUUGUGCCCUUGAGGCGUGGCUUCCGGAGCUAACGCGUUAAGUAGACCGCCUGGGGAGUACGGCCGCAAGGUUAAAACUCAAAUGAAUUGACGGGGGCCCGCACAAGCGGUGGAGCAUGUGGUUUAAUUCGAUGCAACGCGAAGAACC
rnacentral:rRNA from 1 species